rnacentral:rRNA from 1 species
GACGAACGCUGGCGGCGUGCCUAAUACAUGCAAGUAGAACGCAGUUGCGAACGGGUGAGUAACGCGUAGGGAACUGCCUCAUGGCGGGGGAUAACUCUUGGAAACGAUAGUUAAUACCCCAAACUGUGAGAUGGGCGUGCGUUGUAUUAGGUAGUUGGUGAGGUAAAGGCUCGACAAGGCGACGAUACAUAGCCGACCUGAGAGGGGGAUCGGCCACACUGGGACUGAGACACGGCCCAGACUCCUACGGGAGGCAGCAGUAGGGAAUCUUCGGCAAUGGACGAAAGUCUGAUCGAGCAAUGCCGCGUGAGUGAAGAAGGUCUUCGGAUCGUAAAACUCUGUUGUUAGAGAAGCGGUAUCUAACCAGAAAGCCACGGCUAACUACGUGCCAGCAGCCGCGGUAAUAC